rnacentral:rRNA from 1 species
UACCAGCACCCCGAGUGGUCGGGACGAUUAUUGGGCCUAAAGCAUCCGUAGCCGGUUUUACAAGUCCCCCGUUAAAUCCAGCUGCUUAACAGAUGGGCUGCGGAGGAUACUAUAAGACUAGGAGGCAGGGAGAGGCAAGCGGUACUCAGUGGGUAGGGGUAAAAUCCGUUGAUCCAUUGAAGACCACCAGUGGCGAAGGCGGCUUGCCAGAAUGCGCUCGACGGUGAGGGAUGAAAGCUGGGGGAGCAAACCGGG